rnacentral:lncRNA from 1 species
GUUCCUCUCCCUUGGGCUUAUGUCCAGAGAAGCCUCUGAACCCAAUUAGCCUUGCUUUCCUUCACCUCUGCUUCUUCAGGACUUUUCAGAAUUUCUCAAGCAUUAAGGUAAAGGCUGUUUCCAAAUUCAGAAUUCCUUAAAGAAGGAGUCAUUUAGUGCUCCUACUAAAUGCUUUCCCACUGCUUCAGGUGCAUAUUGGAUGUACUUGCUGACCCGUUUGUGGUUGUAGAGACCAUGUUACAAGUGCUGGCUGGAUUUUUUUUUUCUUUAGGAAUGAUGAUAAGAGAAGUCUCUGAAUGACUGAUGAACAGAAGCCCUCUGCCCCACUGAUAGACCUGUCACAUAAGUAAGAAAAUAAUGAAAACUUAUAUGAUUUUAAAUCACUAUGACUUGGAGGUCAUUUGCUACCACAGCAUGAAGAGCCUGUCUUGAAUUGAUGAUAUGGCAUCGUAAUAUUACAUUGUUACAGUGGCACUGCUUUAAUAUUCUUAGGAAUGACUCUUAUGACUCUAAUGGUAGAAUUUUUGCCAUCGGAAAGGGAGCAAGAGAUCCCAUGCUGGGGAGUAAUACACCUGAAAGCAUGUUAUAUAAACAGCUACAUUUUCAGCCUAUCUGCAGGGUUGGUGGCUGAUGAUGGAUAUUCUGUGUUUUCAUUUUUUGCUUGAGACCAAAAAUGCAGGGUGUCAACUGAAGACUAUAUCUGCUUCAAAUAUUUUUCUUUUCACGGCAAUUUCUUAACAUUCUGAUUCUCAGACAUUAAAAACAAAGGCAGCUGGUGGAAGCCAUUGGACUGCAGGAUCUGCUACUUGAAGCACAACACCACAGGAGGCUUUUUUUCUGUCUCUGACAAUCGGGAUUAGUGCAAAAAGAGGUUUGAUAAGACUAAACAGUCCAAAGAUUUGACAGUCCUGACACCUGGCAUAUGAAAGAUGGAAUUCCUGAAUGGAAAUUAUUCUUAUUGAACUUCUCUGAAGAGUUUGCCUGGAAAGAAGUAUCUUUUCCAACGCCAGUACAUUCUCGGCGCUCCUUCAACUGGCUGAAAAAUGAGUGGCUCCUUUCAGGAGGCAGUAAGAUGAAUACGGACAGCUCUACCCUUACGCACUCUCGAUUUCUGAGGAAAAGAACAUGCUCUUCCUUUUGUCUAUGUCAGAAUUUCUGGAUUCUGAUUAGCCUGAUUUGUCUUGCACCAAUCCCGUUCCCAGGGCAUGAAAUACUUGGAUUGUCCAAGCCAGGGUCACGUUCCCAACCUGGAGGCCAGGUUCCAGGUAAGGCACCCUGUCUGACCAUCCCCAAAGAACCGCAUGCGAUAGAGAGAGGUGCAUCUGAGUGGCAAAUAAUACACCUCUAG